rnacentral:rRNA from 1 species
GAGCGUUAAUCGGAAUUACUGGGCGUAAAGCGCGCGUAGGCGGCUUUUCAAGUCGAUUGUGAAAUCCCCGGGCUUAACCUGGGAACUGCAGUCGAGACUGUCUAGCUAGAGUAUGGGAGAGGGAAGUGGAAUUUCAGGUGUAGCGGUGAAAUGCGUAGAUAUCUGAAGGAACAUCAGUGGCGAAAGCGACUUCCUGGACCAAUACUGACGCUCAUGUGCGAAAGCGUGGGGAGCAAACAGG